rnacentral:rRNA from 1 species
AUUGAACGCUGGCGGCAGGCCUAACACAUGCAGGUCGAACGGUAACAGGAAGAAGCUUGCUUCUUUGCUGACGAGUGGCGGACGGGUGAGUAAUGUCUGGGAAACUGCCUGAUGGAGGGGGAUAACUACUGGAAACGGUAGCUAAUACCGCAUAACGUCGCAAGACCAAAGAGGGGGACCUUCGGGCCUCUUGCCAUCGGAUGUGCCCAGAUGGGAUUAGCUAGUAGGUGGGGUAACGGCUCACCUAGGCGACGAUCCCUAGCUGGUCUGAGAGGGUGACCAGCCACACUGGAACUGAGACACGGUCCAGACUCCUACGGGAGGCAGCAGUGGGGAAUAUUGCACAAUGGGCGCAAGCCUGAUGCAGCCAUGCCGCGUGUAUGAAGAAGGCCUUCGGGUUGUAAAGUACUUUCAGCGGGGAGGAAGGGAGUAAAGUUAAUACCUUUGCUCAUUGACGUUACCCGCAGAAGAAGCACCGGCUAACUCCGUG